GAUGAAGAACGUAGCGAAAUGCGAUAAGUAGUGUGAAUUGCAGAAUUCAGUGAAUCAUCGAAUCUUUGAACGCACAUUGCGCCCUUUGGUAUUCCAAAGGGCAUGCCUGUUCGAGCGUCAUUUGUACCCUCAAGCUUUGCUUGGUGUUGGGCGUCUUGUCUCUAGCUUUGCUGGAGACUCGCCUUAAAGUAAUUGGCAGCCGGCCUACUGGUUUCGGAGCGCAGCACAAGUCGCACUCUCUAUCAGCAAAGGUCUAGCAUCCAUUAAGCCUUUUUUUUCAACUUUUGACCUCGGAUCAGGUAGGGAUACCCGCUGAACUUAAGCAUAUCAAUAAGCGGGAGGA
rnacentral:misc_RNA from 1 species